rnacentral:rRNA from 1 species
UAGGACUUAGGAAUUAGAUACCCUAUUAUUUAAGAAGUAAAUAUUUUGGUGACUUGAGUAGUAUUAGUUAUUUUCUUGAAACUCAAAGAAUUUGGCGGUGUUUUAGUCUUUUCAGAGGAAUCUGUUCCGUAAAUGAUAAUACACGAUUUACUUUACCAUAUUUUGUAAUUUCAGUAUGUAUACCGCCGUCAUCAGUUUAUCUUAUAAGAGUUAAUAAUUUUCUUUAAUUUUUAUUAAAAUAUAUGUCAGGUCAAGGUGCAGCUUAUAUUAUGGUGGAAAUGGAUUACAAUAAAUUUAUUUAUAUGGAAUAUUAUAUGAAAAAUUAAUAUGAAGGUGGAUUUGUGAGUAAUUUUAUUAAUUUUAUUAAUUUGAUUUUAGCUCUAAAAUAUGUACACAUCGCCCGGUCACUCUCA